AUUGAACGCUGGCGGAAUGCUUUACACAUGCAAGUCGAACGGUAGAGGGGGCAACCCCUUGAGAGUGGCGAACGGGUGAGUAAUAUAUCGGAACGUGCCCAGUCGUGGGGGAUAACGUAGUGAAAAUUACGCUAAUACCGCAUACGAUCUAAGGAUGAAAGCGGGGGAUCGCAAGACCUCGCGCGACUGGAGCGGCCGAUAUCAGAUUAGGUAGUUGGUAGGGUAAAGGCCUACCAAGCCAACGAUCUGUAGCUGGUCUGAGAGGACGACCAGCCACACUGGAACUGAGACACGGUCCAGACUCCUACGGGAGGCAGCAGUGGGGAAUUUUGGACAAUGGGCGAAAGCCUGAUCCAGCCAUUCCGCGUGCAGGAUGAAGGCCCUCGGGUUGUAAACUGCUUUUGUACAGAACGAAAAGGUCUCUAUUAAUACUAGGGGCUCAUGACGGUACUGUAAGAAUAAGCACCGGCUAACUACGUGCCAGCAGCCGCGGUAAUACGUAGGGUGCAAGCGUUAAUCGGAAUUACUGGGCGUAAAGCGUGCGCAGGCGGUUAUAUAAGUCAGAUGUGAAAUCCCCGGGCUCAACCUGGGAACUGCAUUUGAGACUGUAUAGCUAGAGUACGGUAGAGGGGGAUGGAAUUCCGCGUGUAGCAGUGAAAUGCGUAGAUAUGCGGAGGAACACCGAUGGCGAAGG
rnacentral:rRNA from 1 species